AUAGACUAGCGUCCUGUCCAGGGGGUGUCCUGGUACAUCAAAGCUGUCUCACUACAGAAACAGGAGAUAGACUAGCGUCCUGUCCAGGGGGUGUCCUGGUACAUCAAGCUGUCUCACUACAGAAACAGGAGAUAGACUAGCGUCCUGUCCAGGGGGUGUACUGGUACAUCAAGCUGUCUCACAGGAUGACAGACUAACCCAGGUUUAUCCCCACACAGACUGGUACAGGAUGACAGACUAACCCAGGUUUAUCCCCACACAGACUGGUACAGGAUGACAGACUAACCCAGGUUUAUCCCCACACAGACUGGUACAGGAUGACAGACUAACCCAGGUUUAUCCCCACACAGACUGGUACAGGAUGACAGACUAACCCAGGUUUAUCCCCACACAGACUGGUACAGGAUGACAGACUAACCCAGGUUUAUCCCCACACAGACUGGUACAGGAUGACAGACUAACCCAGGUUUAUCCCCACACAGACUGGUACAGGAUGACAGACUAACCCAGGUUUAUCCCCACACAGACUGGUACAGGAUGACAGACUAACCCAGGUUUAUCCCCACACAGACUGGUACAGGUAUGGAUGACAGACUAACCAAGGUUUAUCCCCACACAGACUGGUACAGGAUGACAGACUAACCCAGGUUUAUCCCCACACAGACUGGUACAGGAUGACAGACUAACCCAGGUUUAUCCCCACACAGACUGGUACAGGUAUGGAUGACAGACUAACCCAGGUUUAUCCCCACACAGACUGGUACAGGAUGCCAGACUAACCCAGGUUUAUCCCCACACAGACUGGUACAGGAUGCCAGACUAACCCAGGUGUAUCCCCACACAGACUGGUACAGGUAUGGAUGACAGACUAACCCAGGUUUAUCCCCACACAGACUGGUACAGGUAUGGAUGACAGACUAACCCAGGUUUAUCCCCACACAGACUGGUACAGGAUGACAGACUAACCCAGGUGUAUCCCCACACAGACUGGUACGGGUAUGGAUGACAGACUAACCCAGGUUUAUCCCCACACAGACUGGUACAGGUAUGGAUGA